UGGGAUUUGGCUCAGUGGUAGAGCACUUGCCUAGCAAGUGCAAGGCCCUGGGUUUGAUCCCCAGCUCCAA
rnacentral:tRNA from 1 species